rnacentral:lncRNA from 1 species
UAAAUAUAUAUACAUUAUGGUUUUUUUUUUUUUUUUAAUUUAUGUAAUUUAUAUAAUACUUUAUGAAUUAUAUCAAUGUUUAUGUAUAUUUAUAGAACGGUUAGAUAAUUAUAUGAAUGAUCAAGUGGUAACUUCCAAAAUUAGAGGAAGAAUAUUAGGACAAGUACAAAGAAAUAACGCGAGUUUGACGUCACAAAAAACUGUAAGAAGAAAAGAAAUGCGUAAUGACAAUGAAAUUAAAGUAGGUGAAGUUUCAGAUGAACAUUAUGAGAAAGUAUUUUUGGAAAUGAUAUCCAAUAUUCAUAAUAAUAGCUAUAGUCAAUUUUUUAAUAAUUAUAUCAAUCAACGUAUGGGUGAACAUAUAAGUGUUACGCCAGAAAGAAAAAAGCUUUAUAUGUGGGAUUUAGAAUCUAACAAUUUGGUUGAAGUUGAUAGAAACGGUAAUCAGAGAACAAGGGAUUCAAGAAAUCGUGAUGAAUUUGCGGAUCCUGUUAAUAUGUUUGAAAAUAUAAUGCAGCAAUAUAAAGAGUAUGAAAAUAAUUUAUUGGGGUUAAUAAAAACAUUAAAUGAUGUAGUUGAUGCAAAUGCUAUGAUAACUGUAUUUAACUAUGUUAUUAUUAUGGAGAAAAAUAAUUACGUUUUACUACUUAAGAGUAUUUUUCAAUAUUUCACUAUACUGUGUAAAAAAUAUAAAAUACCAGAGUAUUAUAAGCAUAGACAAUUUUUAAAAGUAUAUGAUAAAAUAACGGGUGAUAUGUUGCAUUUAGAAAAGGAGUGUCUUAAGUAUUUAGCAUGUGUGGUUGGUAAUAAAUCGAUGAAAUGCGUUACAUUUCAAACAUUGUUAAGUGAAGUUGUAAAAAAGUUUAAUGAAUUAAUAAGAUAUUGGGCAAACCAUGCUUUGAAAUAUUUUGAAUAUAAAAUUAAAAGGUAUGAUAAAAUGACAAAGCAUGCAAUUACUUUUUGAAGUGAAGAACAUAAAUAAUGUUCAUAUACAUAUAUAUAUAUAUAAAUUUAUUUAUUUAUCAUUUUUAUUUAUUGUUAUUUAAUUUAUAUGUAUUUCUUGUAAAAUUUGAUUUUUUUAAAUUUAAAUUUGACAUAUGUGUUGAAUGCAAUAAAUUAAAGUUUGUUUAUUAUCA